rnacentral:rRNA from 1 species
CCUACGGGAGGCAGCAGUGAGGAAUAUUGGUCAAUGGGCGCAAGCCUGAACCAGCCAAGUCGCGUGAGGGAUGACGGUCCUAUGGAUUGUAAACCUCUUUUGUCGGGGAGCAAGGCCCGCCACGUGUGGCGGGUAGCAGAGUACCCGAAAAAAAAGCAUCGGCUAACUCCGUGCCAGAAGCCGCGGUAAUACGGAGGAUGCGAGCGUUAUCCGGAUUUUUUGGGUUUAAAGGGUGCGUAGGCGGAAGGUGAAGGCAGCGGGCAAAUGUGGGUGCGCAACACCGGCCUGCCGUUGAAACUGGUCUUCUUGAGUGAGCGAGAAGUAUGCGGAAUGCGUGGUGUAGCGGUGAAAUGCAUAGAUAUCACGCAGAACUCCGAUUGCGAAGGCAGCAUACCGGCGCUCAACUGACGCUGAGGCACGAAAGCGUGGGGAUCGAACAGGAUUAGAUACCCGGGUAGUC